rfam:Burkholderia ambifaria MEX-5 ctg00686, whole genome shotgun sequence.
GGGGGACGGCCCCGCGAAGUCGGCUUGCAGGAGCAGGCUUCAAACCGCCACAAGCUGCGCGGGUAGGGUUGAGUCGCAAGCAACGCCAGACGUCAUGG